UUUUAUCAUAUGUAGAUCAAUUGAUCAAACCAUUAUAAACUAUUAUGCUUAGUUUAGUAUAUUUUUCUUUUGUCAUCUGAUUUAUCGUCCACCAAACUUUGUAUUGUUAGUUUUGCAUGCACCAUGUUAUUUCGAUCCCAACAAAUGUGAAGAGAUAACAUAAGACUAUUAUUUAACCUUUCAGUUACAUUAACUCCCUCAAGUGAUUUUAUUUUGUGCCUCACACAACUGACACUAAUUGUGUGAAACCUCUUUUUAUCUCACAUGUUUGUGGAUUCAUAUCUUACACAUAUGGGUCCACAAAUUUUUGGCACCCAUAUAGUUGUGAGGUACAAAAUAAAAUUUUUCUUAACUCCUUUUGAAACUAGUGGUCCAAAUAAGCAUAGACAUGUGUGUAGUUAUAAAUAAUCUCAUUAAAAAUAAAAUAAAAAAUUCUAAGUUAAAUUAUUUCUAAGUAUAGAGAUGUAUUAUUCUCUUGAACAAACUAAAAAAAGUAUGACAUAUUUUGGGACAGAGGGAGCGUUAAAGUGCAAAAAGAAGAAAAGCAACAUGAAUAUACAUGAGCUGGUUGGGUAUGUCUAACUAUGCACCUUGACUAUAUACUAAUAGGAGUCAACAAACCUCAACCAAGUCCCAAUAAAACAGAAUAAAUUUUUGGAACCUUGUGAUUAAUAAUUUGUGGCAGCAAAUCCCUUUUGGUUUCAAGGUAAAACAAACAAGGUAAUAAGUCAAAGUAGACUAGCAGAAUACAAGGUAAAAUACUACCCAACAACUAAGUUGAAACUUGAAACAACAUUAAUGAAUGUGUGUAUAUUUCAAAUGAGCAAAUCAAAUCAGAACUAUGAAUUCUAGACUCAAAAAUCAGUGUUUUCCUUUAAAUUGGGGUUGUCAGAAAUGUCUGUGGUGAUGAUGUUGAUGUCUGUGUUCAUCCAAUCCAAAGCACUGCAAAACAGGGAAACAUACUACAAAGAGGCACCUCUUUAACACAGAGAAAGUAGAAGAAACUACAAAACAAGGACAACAACAACAUGCCAAGAAUGGAUCAUCAUAUGGUCUAUUUCCUUCAUUAUGAUGAUGAUGAUGACGACCCAUCUUCUUCUUUGACCUGAUCAAUACACAAAAUCAAUGAUUACCCAUUACUCAAUUGGCAAAACAAAAACUACCCCUUAACUAAAAGUUUGUUAUAAAAAAAUAGCCUGGUGCACUAAGCUCCCGCUAUGCGCGGGGUUCGGGAAGGGUCGAUCUAUUGUACGCAGUUCUACCCGGCAUUUUUGCAAGAGACUGUUUCCACGGCUCGAACCCGUAACCUUCUGGUCACAUGGCAGCAACUUUACCAGCUACGCCGAGGCUCCCUUUGUAAAAGUUUAUUAUAAUUGAGCAAAACGAUCACAUCUUUGAUGUAAAAUAUAAUUAAUUCAGAUAUAUUACCUUGAGAUAUGAACCUUCUUCUAAGUCUUGGGAGAUCUUAAGCUAAAAGAAUAAUGCAAGAGUAAUUGUAAAAGGAGGGAAGCAGAGGAGAUUGGUUGGAAGGAGAAUAGCUGUAUCAAACCAGCAAAAUUGGGAGGAAUAAGACUGUUUGUAGUUGAACUGAAAAAGAGUUAUAAAGCGUGUGAAUUUCGUGUUGGGUUGUCACAAUUAUAAUCACGCAAGUAGAUAGCACUCCUACUAAUAUAAAAUCUCAGCAACUUGGGUAUCCAGGCUUUUUCUACCGUUAGUAUUCUACAAGUCUAAUCCAAUUGGACCAAAAAUCAGACGUGGCAUUAAGUUGGCUGGUUCAGUUCAUCUUGACAAUAAGAAUAUGAAAUUAC
rnacentral:lncRNA from 1 species